rnacentral:ncRNA from 2 species
ACAUCCCGUGCGGGAGAGCCCGGACCCCGGUCCGGCGCCGAAGGAGCAAAUCCUCCCCGGAACCUCUCAGGCACCCAGGACCGCACGGGACAG